rnacentral:tRNA from 1 species
UUUAAAGUGGUGGAAUGGUAGACACGGUAGACUUAAAAUCUAUUGCAAUUUAUUGCGUGAGGGUUCGAGUCCCUCCUUUGAAA